rnacentral:ncRNA from 1 species
CAACCUCAACUCAUAUGGGACUACCCCCUGAAUUUAAGCAUAUUAAUUAGGGGAGGAAAAGAAACUAACAAGGAUUUUCUUAGUAGCGGCGAGCGAAAAGAAAUCAGUUCAGCACUAAGUCACUUUGUCUAUAUGGCAAAUGUGAGAUGCAGUGUACGGAACAUCAACAUUCUAGUAUGAGAAGUUAACGAUUUAAGUCCUUCUUAAAUGAGGCCAUUUACCCAUAGAGGGUGCCAGGCCCGUAUAACGUUAAUGAUUACUAGAUGGUGUUUCCAAAGAGUCGUGUUGCUUGAUAGUGCAGCACUAAGUGGGUGGUAAACUCCAUCUAAAACUAAAUAUAACCAUGAGACCGAUAGUAAACAAGUACCGUGAGGGAAAGUUGAAAAGAACUCUGAAUAGAGAGUUAAAUAGUACGUGAAACUGCUUAGAGGUUAAGCCCGAUGAACCUGAAUAUCCGUUAUGGAAAAUUCAUCAU